GAUGAACGCUGGCGGCGUGCCUAAUACAUGCAAGUCGAGCGAACAGAUAAGGAGCUUGCUCCUUUGACGUUAGCGGCGGACGGGUGAGAAGCACGUGGGUAACCUACCUAUAAGACUGGAAUAACUCCGGGAAACCGGGGCUAAUGCCGGAUAACAUUUAGAACCGCAUGGUUCUAAAGUGAAAGAUGGUUUUGCUAUCACUUAUAGAUGGACCCGCGCCGUAUUAGCUAGUUGGUAAGGUAACGGCUUACCAAGGCAACGAUACGUAGCCGACCUGAGAGGGUGAUCGGCCACACUGGAACUGAGACACGGUCCAGACUCCUACGGGAGGCAGCAGUAGGGAAUCUUCCGCAAUGGGCGAAAGCCUGACGGAGCAACGCCGCGUGAGUGAUGAAGGUCUUCGGAUCGUAAAACUCUGUUAUUAGGGAAGAACAAAUGUGUAAGUAACUGUGCACGUCUUGACGGUACCUAAUCAGAAAGCCACGGCUAACUACGUG
rnacentral:rRNA from 1 species